rnacentral:rRNA from 1 species
CACGUAGGGGACGAGCGUUGUCCGGAAUCAUUGGGCGUAAAGCGCGCGUAGGCGGCCCGGAAAGUCGGAUGUGAAAUCGCUCGGCUCAACUGGGCGGGGUCAGCGGAUACGGUGUAGCUGGAGCAAGCUAGGGGGCAAUGGAAUUCCCGGUGUAGUGGUGGAAUGCGUAGAUAUCGGGAGGAACACCAGUGGCGAAGGCGGUUGCCUGGAGCUUUGCUGACGCUGAGGCGCGAAAGCGUGGGGAGCGAUCCGG